ACGCUCGACACCUACGGGGCAGCAGUGGGGAAUAUUGCACAAUGGGGGAAACCCUGAUGCAGCGACGCCGCGUGAAGGAAGAAGUAUUUCGGUAUGUAAACUUCUAUCAGCAGGGAAGAAACUGACGGUACCUGACUAAGAAGCACCGGCUAAAUACGUGCCAGCAGCCGCGGUAAUCUGAGCGGGCUGGCAAGGC
rnacentral:rRNA from 1 species